rnacentral:rRNA from 1 species
AUACGUAGGUGACAAGCGUUAUCCGGAUUUACUGGGCGUAAAGGGCGUGUAGGCGGUCUUGCAAGUCAGAAGUGAAAUUCCUGAGCUCAACUCGGGCGCUGCUUCUGAAACUGCAGGACUUGAGUGCUGGAGGGGAUAGCGGAAUUCCUAGUGGAGCGGUAAAAUGCGCAGAUAUUAGGAAGAACACCGGUGGCGAAGGCGGCUAUCUGGACAGUAACUGGCGCUGAGGCGCAAAAGCGUGGGGACAAAACAGGAUUAGAUACCCUGGUAUUCCACGCCGUAAACGAUGAAUACUAGGUGUAUGGGUUAUCGACUCCCUCUGUGCCGCAGUUAACACAAUAAGUAUCCCGCCUGGGGAGUACGGCCGCAAGGUUGAAACUCAAAGGAAUUGACGGGG